UACAGAGGUCUCAAGCGUUGUUCGGAUUCAUUGGGCGUAAAGGGUGCGUAGGCGGCGCGGUAAGUCGGGUGUGAAAUCUCGGAGCUUAACUCCGAAACUGCAUUCGAUACUGCCGUGCUUGAGGACUGGAGAGGAGACUGGAAUUUACGGUGUAGCGGUGAAAUGCGCAGAUAUCAGGAGGAACACCGGUGGCGAAGGCGGGACUCUGGGCCGAUACUGACGCUGAGGAGCGAAAGCGUGGGGAGCAAACAGG
rnacentral:rRNA from 1 species